rnacentral:rRNA from 1 species
AGAGUUUGAUCCUGGCUCAGAUUGAACGCUAGCGGGAUGCUUUACACAUGCAAGUCGAACGGCAGCACGAGAGAGCUUGCUCUCUUGGUGGCGAGUGGCGGACGGGUGAGUAAUAUAUCGGAACGUGCCCAGUAGCGGGGGAUAACUACUCGAAAGAGUGGCUAAUACCGCACACGCCCUACGGGGGAAAGGGGGGGAUCGCAAGACCUCUCACUAUUGGAGCGGCCGAUAUCGGAUUAGCUAGUUGGUGGGGUAAAGGCUCACCAAGGCAACGAUCCGUAGCUGGUUUGAGAGGACGACCAGCCACACUGGGACUGAGACACGGCCCAGACUCCUACGGGAGGCAGCAGUGGGGAAUUUUGGACAAUGGGGGAAACCCUGAUCCAGCCAUCCCGCGUGUAUGAUGAAGGCCUUCGGGUUGUAAAGUACUUUUGGCAGAGAAGAAAAGGCAUCCCCUAAUACGGGAUGCUGCUGACGGUAUCUGCAGAAUAAGCACCGGCUAACUACGUGCCAGCAGCCGCGGUAAUACGUAGGGUGCAAGCGUUAAUCGGAAUUACUGGGCGUAAAGCGUGUGUAGGCGGUUCGGAAAGAAAGAUGUGAAAUCCCAGGGCUCAACCUUGGAACUGCAUUUUUAACUGCCGAGCUAGAGUAUGUCAGAGGGGGGUAGAAUUCCACGUGUAGCAGUGAAAUGCGUAGAUAUGUGGAGGAAUACCGAUGGCGAAGGCAGCCCCCUGGGAUAAUACUGACGCUCAGACACGAAAGCGUGGGGAGCAAACAGGAUUGGAUACCCUGGUAGUCCACGCCCU